GACGAACGCUGGCGGCGUGCUUAAUACAUGCAAGUCGAACGGAGCUUAGCCGAUAGUUUUCUCUAUUGGCGACGGCUUAGUGGCGGACGGGUGAGUAACGCGUGGGUAAUCUGCCCCUAAGUCCGGGAUAACAGCGCGAAAGUGCUGCUAAUACCGGAUAUGCUUCCGAGGUCGCAUGAACUGGGAAGGAAAGGGAUACCGCUUAGGGAUGAGCCCGCGUCCCAUUAGCUAGUUGGUGAGGUAACGGCUCACCAAGGCGACGAUGGGUAGCCGGCCUGAGAGGGUGGACGGCCACACUGGGACUGAGACACGGCCCAGACUCCUACGGGAGGCAGCAGUAGGGAAUUUUCCGCAAUGGGCGAAAGCCUGACGGAGCAACGCCGCGUGAGGGAGGAAGGCCUUCGGGUCGUAAACCUUUGUCAUCGAGGACGAUAAUGACGGUACUCGAGGAGGAAGCCCCGGCUAACUACGUGCCAGCAGCCGCGGUAACACGUAGGGGGCGAGCGUUGUCCGGAAUUACUGGGCGUAAAGGGCGCGUAGGCGGCCCAAUAAGUCAGAUGUGAAAGUCCUGGGCUUAACCCAGGGAUUGCAUUUGAAACUGUUGGGCUUGAGGACAGGAGAGGAAAGCGGAAUUCCCAGUGUAGCGGUGAAAUGCGUAGAUAUUGGGAGGAACACCAGUGGCGAAGGCGGCUUUCUGGA
rnacentral:rRNA from 1 species